rnacentral:misc_RNA from 1 species
UCAUAAUUCUGUAAGUGACGCUUACGCCCUCUUGUAGCCGUCGAAGGAAGAAGGGAGGAAGAGGAUGGUUUCUCCUUUCAAGAUGAAACAAUCGGUUAUCUUUUUAUAGAGAAAAACUUAGGAACCAGUAUAGUACUGUGUUUUGUGACAAGAAGUUUUGUUUCCAAACAUAUGUUGAAAUUGUUUGCUUUUACUUUCUUGCUGGACAAACAGCUUUAAAAUAUGGAAACCUUAAAACAUAGAAAUGCUGAUGUACAAUAAUAAAAAAUGCCAGAUGAAGAAAGAAAAGCUGUUAUAUCUCUCUUAAACAUUCCAUGGAACGAUGUUUUAUUUGUUUAUCUUUUACCAUUACUUAAUUGGAAAGAUUUAUUUCGUCUAAGACGUGUAUCAAGUGAAGUCCUUUGUUUGGUGACAGAGUAUUUCAGAUCAUGUCAAUCUAUUGAUCUCUCUAUAGUUAGUGGACAAUUUAAUGCCAAAGCCUUUCAAAUUAUCUCAAUGAAUAAUUCUUACAUUCAAUUUUUGAUUUUAAGGAAUUGUAAAUGGUUAAAUAGUGAUUUAUUAACACCAGUAUUGAAGACAAAUGAAAGUAUUGUGCAUUUGGAUAUUUCUGGUUGUUCUGCUCUCACUAAUUUAAAUUUACAAAUUUUAGCAACUAAGUGCCGAGGAUUAAAAAAAUUAUCACUGCAAAACUGUCAUUGGGUUAGUGCCACAGCAAUAAUGUCACUUGCUUUAGAAUGUAAAAACUUAGAAUAUGUUGAUUUAACAAGUUGUUGGGAAGUUACAGAUGAAUCAGUAUGUAAAUUGGUUGCUAAUUGUCCAAAGUUAUCCUAUUUAUCUUUGUCUCGGAUUUAUGGUAUUACUGAUUAUACUAUGAGUAUGAUUGCAUGUACUUCCAAACUUUUAGAGCAUCUAAAUGUUUCUGGAUGUUGGAGAAUAACAGACUUUGGAAUCAGGUUGGUAGGCGAAUAUUGUAGAAGACUUAAAUCAUUAAAGGUAGAAGACUGUCGUGAUGUCACAGAAGCUAGUCUGGCCACAUUGAGAUUGAGAGUCGUCGUUGAUCGUCCCAACAGUAGAUACCCUUACAGAGCACAAAGUCAUAGAAUAAGACUUCAGAUUUAAAUAUAGAUAAAAAGAUACUGAAGUUUCUAAAGUGUGCAAUUCUUUUAUUAUUUUUUUGCAAGCCUAUUUCCAAAAUUAUAUACUUUCGAACAAGGUUAUUGAACUUGCCACCGGUUAACAGUUUGUAAGAGAAUUUUUGAGAUUAUAUUACAUAAACUGCAAGAAAAUUUUUGCAGGACAACAAGAUGUUU